CGGGUGGUAAUGCCGGAUGUUCCACAUGAUCGCAUGUGAUUGUGGGAAAGAUUCUAUCGGCGUGGGAUGGGGUCGCGUCCUAUCAGCUUGUUGGUGAGGUAACGGCUCACCAAGGCUUCGACGGGUAGCCGGCCUGAGAGGGCGACCGGCCACAUUGGGACUGAGAUACGGCCCAGACUCCUACGGGAGGCAGCAGUGGGGAAUAUUGCACAAUGGGCGCAAGCCUGAUGCAGCGACGCCGCGUGAGGGAUGGAGGCCUUCGGGUUGUAAACCUCUUUUGUUUGGGAGCAAGCCUUCGGGUGAGUGUACCUUUCGAAUAAGCGCCGGCUAACUACGUGCCAGCAGCCGCGGUAAUACGUAGGGCGCAAGCGUUAUCCGGAUUUAUUGGGCGUAAAGGGCUCGUAGGCGGCUCGUCGCGUCCGGUGUGAAAGUCCAUCGCUUAACGGUGGAUCUGCGCCGGGUACGGGCGGGCUGGAGUGCGGUAGGGGAGACUGGAAUUCCCGGUGUAACGGUGGAAUGUGUAGAUAUCGG
rnacentral:rRNA from 1 species